rnacentral:rRNA from 1 species
GAUGAACGCUGGCGGCAUGCCUAAUACAUGCAAGUCGAACGAGAGGAAGGAAAGCUUGCCUUUCUGAAUCUAGUGGCGAACGGGUGAGUAACACGUAGGUAACCUGCCCAUGUGCCCGGGAUAACUUCUGGAAACGGAUGCUAAAACCGGAUAGGUAGCAGACAAGCAUUUGACUGCUAUUAAAGUGGCUAAGGCCAUGAACAUGGAUGGACCUGCGGUGCAUUAGCUAGUUGGUGAGGUAACGGCCCACCAAGGCGACGAUGCAUAGCCGGCCUGAGAGGGCGGACGGCCACAUUGGGACUGAGACACGGCCCAAACUCCUACGGGAGGCAGCAGUAGGGAAUUUUCGUCAAUGGGGGGAACCCUGAACGGGCAAUGCCGCGUGAGUGAGGAAGGUCUUCGGAUCGUAAAGCUCUGUUGUAAGAGAAAAACGACAUUCAUAGGGAAUGAUGAGUGAGUGAUGGUAUCUUACCAGAAAGUCACGGCUAACUACGUGCCAGCCGCCGCAGUAA